AUACGGAGGGAGCGAGCGUUAAUCGGAAUUACUGGGCGUAAAGCGCGCGUAGGCGGCUUUGUAAGUCGGAUGUGAAAGCCCCGGGCUCAACCCGGGAAUGGCAUUCGAUACUGCAUAACUAGAGUAUGGUAGAGGGAAGUGGAAUUUCCGGUGUAGCGGUGAAAUGCGUAGAUAUCGGAAGGAACACCAGUGGCGAAGGCGACUUCCUGGGCCAAUACUGACGCUAAGGUGCGAAAGCGUGGGGAGCAAACAGGAUUAGAUACCCGAGUAGUCC
rnacentral:rRNA from 1 species